rnacentral:rRNA from 1 species
UACGAAGGGGGCUAGCGUUGCUCGGAAUCACUGGGCGUAAAGGGUGCGUAGGCGGCUUCUCAAGUCAGGGGUGAAAUCCUGGAGCUCAACUCCAGAACUGCCUUUGAUACUGAGGGGCUCGAGUCCGGGAGAGGUGAGUGGAACUGCGAGUGUAGAGGUGAAAUUCGUAGAUAUUCGCAAGAACACCAGUGGCGAAGGCGGCUCACUGGCCCGGUACUGACGCUGAGGUGCGAAAGCGUGGGGAGCAAACAGG